GAGAGAGAGAGAGAGAGAAUUGAAAUCGCAGAGUUACAUACUCUAAAAAAUCAAUUUUUCCACUAUCCCACAUUUUCUCGGAGACCAAACAGGGAAACGGAAAUGAAUUUACGAAGAAAUAAACAGAAAUUACCGACACUAAGCAUCAAAAAACAAAUAAAAGAAUAGACCUAAAGUUUUGAUCUUUUGAAGAUAAAAAGUUGAAGAUAAAAAGUUCAAACCUGGAAUGCUGCAGUAAUCGCGAU
rnacentral:misc_RNA from 1 species